rnacentral:lncRNA from 1 species
UGGAGGAGCUUUCUGACACACACCUCAUGCUGAGUCUACUUGCUGUUUUCCACUCGCUUCUCUACAAUUUCCACCCCUCCAACCACAUCCUUUCAGAAACUCUAAAAAGAGGAAACUGAAGAGGAGAAAGAAAAAUGUUCACAAUAUACUUGGCUUCAUUUAAUUUUUAAAGCUGAAAGUAAUGAAGAUGUCCUACUGCAUGUCCUGUCAUUGUCUUCUACAGCUCUACUCAGACAUUUUCCCAGGAUGACCAGUGGAGUACCAGCGGAGGGUGUAACUGCAGAGCCUAAGGAAGCUCCAUUCAAUCAACACUCAUGGUGCUAAAAAAACAAAAAACAAAAAACAAAAACAAAAACAAAAAAACACACUCAUGGUGCUAAUGUCCUCCACCAUCCUCUGAAGCCCAUGGUGAAAAUGCACCACUCCUUCCUAGCAGUCAGCUCUGCGAUGCACGGAGACCUUACCUCUGCGUGUCUCUGCUAACUCUCAUUAAUUUUUCUGAAAAUGCAGGACAGCUGUGACUCAGCAAAAUUUCUUGACGGACAGCUUUUGUCUCCCUUAGCAACUUCCCUCUAGCCUUCCAGAUUCUUGUCUUUUGAGCUAUACCUUGCCAGAAAGUUAGAGGGUUCAAUACCAGAAUCUUCUAAUUUCUUACUUAAGAAUAUCAGCAAGUGUGAGCUUGAAAAUGAAGUCUCUACAUUGAAAAAAUUCAUUUUGAGGUUAAAAUGAAAUAUUCAAAAAUCUCAAAGAGGGUCCCCCUCAAAACCAAUAAAUGCUUAAAUAAACACGAU